UCAAUUUUUGGCGUUCUGGGGUCAUCUGAGGUCACCAAUUAGCCCAUGGGGUCAUCUGAGGUCACCGCUCCUCAAUUUUUUGGGUUCUGGGGUCAUCUGAGGUCACCAAUUAGCCUCCAGGGGUCAUCCGAGGUCACCGCUCCUCAAUUUUUGGGGAUCUGGGGUCAUCUGAGGUCACCAAUUAGCCCGUGGGGUCAUCUGAGGUCACCGCGCCUCAAUUUUUUGGGUUUUGGGGUCAUCUGAGGUCACCAAUUAGCUUCCAGGGGUCAUCUGAGGUCACCG